UACGGAGGGGGCUAGCGUUGUUCGGAAUUACUGGGCGUAAAGCGUGCGCAGGCGGUUCGUUGUGUCCGAUGUGAAAGCCCCGGGCUUAACCUGGGAAUGGCAUUGGAAACUGGCGAGCUUGAGUGCGGCAGAGGGGGGUGGAAUUCCGCGUGUAGCAGUGAAAUGCGUAGAGAUGCGGAGGAACACCGAUGGCGAAGGCAGCCCCCUGGGUCGACACUGACGCUCAGGCACGAAAGCGUGGGGAGCAAACAGG
rnacentral:rRNA from 1 species